rnacentral:piRNA from 1 species
GCUAAGUGUAGUCUGAGCCUGGUGCACCCCC